UACGAAUAUUGCUGUGUUGUUUUGCAUAUUUUAUUAGGAUUACAUUUUAAGUGUCUGUUUACAAUUUGGAGGUUUGUUUUAAUUUGGAAACUUGUUUACAGGCUGAAUGUUACUCAAUAAAGUAUUCAUGUGGCACUUGGUGACUGUAUCUACCCGAUCCAUACAAUUCAGCACCUGCUACCCAUGGUUGAGGGAACUUUGAUUGGACAUUCUACACAUCCCUGCUAGUCAAGAUGGAUCGAGCCAAGACAGUGCGUACAUCGGAGAGGAGGAAAUUCAACCGAACCCUGAAACUGUUCGACGAGAGUGUGAAGCAAGACGACUCGACAGAGAUUUUGAAGCCUGCAUUUGAUGAGAGGUAAUACGUCCAGAGUGUACUGGCAGAGGUGUAUGGCCAGCAUUGCACCGGUUAAGCAUGUGUGGGAGUUUGAUAUGGAGCGCCAAGGUGCUGAAUGUUACUCAAUAAAGUAUUCAUGUGGCACUUGGUGACUGUAUCUACCCGAUCCAUA